rnacentral:lncRNA from 1 species
AAAUAUUUUGUUGAGAAUAAGCAUACCAAAAUAGCUUUGAGCUAGUAGUUUACAUGAUCAAAGUCGAUGUAUAGCCCCGUCUCAGGGGGCUUUCAUAUUUGUACUAAUAUCUGUGCCUAAGAGAUCUUGUAGCACAUGGCAAUUAAAUUUGGGAAAGCUUUGAACAAAAUAUGGGAACCGCCAUAACAUGAAAACGGUAAACCACUUGUAAGUGGUAAUUCAGGUACUUCGCUGAACUUUAUCUCGUGGAAGCAUGUGAGCAUGAUGGGGGAGUAUUAUGCUUUAUCACUAGGCAAAAUUAUGAUCUUAGGGUAUUUUAUGGGAACAUGUAAGCAUGAUAGGGAUUUGGGAAAUAUUCUACUUCUUUACUUGGGCAAAACCAUGACUUAUAUGAUCUUUGAUGGGAUUUAUGUAAUCACAACAUCAUCUUGGAAGCUGCACAACUUCUGCAUAUGUGCUUAGACUUGAAAUAUGACAUUAUUAAUAAACGAAGCUGCACACCUUCUGCAUAUGUGCUAGGGCUUGAAAUACAACUUGAAUUAUGUUACUUG